UUUAGUCAUGUCUGAAAUUUGGUUUUACUGAGAUAAAUUUUGUGAAAUGUAAAAAAAAAUAUUGAUGAAUUUAUAAUAUAUAUAAGUUUAGUUUUCAUUUCUUUAGAAUAUACGAAAAGUGCAUAUAUUGCAUAAUAAACAUAAACAUGAUCUUUAUACCUGCAAAAUUGAUGAAUAUGAUAUGAUCACCAAGCCUUUUUCUAGUAUUCAAAUAAAAGUUUAUGAGAUAUUUUCUCUGCAGGAAUUCAGAUAACAACCAAUGGGCUUUGCUCAGUGUUGAAGGCCAUCAUGAUGACAUAUAGUUGUUAAUUUCUGUGUCAUUUGGUUUCUUGUGGAAAGUUGUCUCAUUGGCAAUCAUACUACAUCUUCCUUUUUAUAAUCGAAUGAGAAUUAAAUGAAGAGAUUUAUUGAUGUAGAUUUGUUUUCUCUGACUGGGUUAGAGGUAAUAGUAGACAGGUUGUUAUGUUGGCUGACUGUGCUCAUGUUACUUUACUAUUUUUAUACCUAGACCAAUUAUAUUUUGUUAAUAAUCAUUUUAAACAUAAUAAAAUAUGCACAAUAAACGUAAUUUCUCAUAUUAAAACUGUUAUUUAAUUUGUCAACAUUUUUGUAUGCAUAAUGUAUGUUUGAAA
rnacentral:lncRNA from 1 species